GAGGGGGAGGAGGGUUGGGAUUGAUCAGUAAAGGAAAACCCAAACCCAGGCUAGGACUUCAGCCCCGAAUCUCUCACCGGGGCUUUAAGAGCAGCCCUGACAUCACCCCCACCCCACCCCCGGCCAGACAGCCAGACGCCCCGAUCGAGUCACUGGCUCCAGAAAGGGCAGUCAACGGCUCCGGUUUCCCCAGAGAACGCUCUGCCAUCCGUGGGAUGCCCCCCACCCUGUGUGUGGCUGUGAGUUGGAUUUUCACCCCGGUUAUUCGGAGAAUCCUCCUAGAGCGCGGUCCAGUCUCAGCUGGGGAUUCCAAUCAGAAGUUUGAGCUAUCAGACAGAUGUUAAAAGCAGAGUGCCUCUGAGGCUUGUGCUAGAAGGAGAGAGCUCCCCAUCCCCCCCUACCCCCCAUCUCCUGGGCCCAGGCCUCUCCAAGCAAGAGACAUUUGGACAGAGACACCAGUGACAAGGAGCAGCCUACGUCCUCCAGACACAGCAAGUGCAAGAGCCCUGAGGCAGGAUGGAGAGUUGUGUGCUCAAAGCACAGAAGGGAGAUCGUGUGGCUAAAGCGCAGUAAGGGCAAGAAAGAGAGAGGACUGGACUCUGAGUCUGUGCACGGGACCGUUAUGAAGGCUGGGGGCUUGGCCUGCAGACAGCCCCCCUCCGCCACGUACAGGAAGCAGAAUGAGCAGAAGGCCUCACGUCCUGGGGUACUGCAAAAGUCAGCUCCAUCAAGGAGGUCCUGGGAGCACAGUGCAAAUCAGAGCAUCCCAAACUGAGCCACCCUGAAGAGCCACUAAACUUUGUGAACAGCAUCCAAGGCAGCAAGGCCAGGAGGAGGCAUCGGUGAGGAAAAGAGGGCCUCGUCCAUCCUCAGGCUUAGCUCCAGCCCUCUGCUCACUUCCCUCAUGGCAACAAAACUCAAGAUUCUGAACAACAUCCACCUGCCCUCCCCCACCCCGGCCAGGCCUGCCCCCUCUCCGAGAAGGUGUGUUUUCAUUGAGACCAUCUCCGAUGGAGCCAAACAACUCACACCGAGCACGACCAACGAUCAAAGUGGGGGGUGGCUUAGACCCACAUGACCAGAAUUGGCUAGUGUGAUGUGUCCAGUGGAGAGUUUUGCUAAAAGAGGCCCACAGUGGCGCCACAGACAGACCCUUAGCUACGGCCAGGCUCACGGGCACCAUGGUACGACAGAAAUAAAACUAAAUUAUAUCACUUGUCAUCAUUAAGAAAAAUUUUCAUCUCUGUUCUUCAUUUGAAAAGCACUAUAUUUAAUGAAUGAGUACUGAGUCAUGACACGUAAAUGACUAAAAUAUAGGAAUUAUACUGAGGUCAACUAACGUAAUUUUAAACCAUGAAAUUAAGGGACCUAUUCGUGGCUGUCGAUGGUGCCACUCCCAGUCAUUAUGAUGCUCUGCAAGGCUGCCGUGAGCACUGGGAAGGGUGGACAGUUCCACAAGAGGCAGACCCAAGUUUCCAGGCAAACUGUCACAUGGUCAAGAUGAAGAAAUCUUGCUGACUUUGCCCAGGUUCUGUGAGUCCGUGAAAUCUCGGCAUGUAUCCAAUGAAGGGCAUUGCUGGUCCCAUGCCAGGCUACCUCCAUUCCAAGGAGCAUCUUACAGAUUUAUCACUGAUGGAAGGUGGGUCAUCAG